rnacentral:rRNA from 1 species
UACGGGGGGGCAAGCGUUGUUCGGAAUUACUGGGCGUAAAGGGCUCGUAGGCGGCCCACUAAGUCAGACGUGAAAUCCCUCGGCUUAACCGGGGAACUGCGUCUGAUACUGGAGGGCUUGAGGACUGGAGAGGAGACUGGAAUUUACGGUGUAGCGGUGAAAUGCGUAGAUAUCGUAAGGAAGACCAGUGGCGAAGGCGGGUCUCUGGACAGUUCCUGACGCUGAGGCACGAAGGCCAGGGGAGCAAACGGG